rnacentral:tRNA from 1 species
GCGGGAGUAACUCAACGGUCAGAGUGCAACCUUCCCAAGGUUGAAGUUGCGGGUUCGAUUCCCGUCUCCCGCUCCA